AAAAUGCGAUACUUGGUGUGAAUUGCAGAAUCCCGUGAACCAUCGAGUUUUUGAACGCAAGUUGCGCCCGAAGCCAUCCGGCUGAGGGCACGCCUGCCUGGGCGUCACGCAUCGCGUCGCUCCCCACCAUACCUCCCCAACGGGUUGGCAUGGUGUUGGGGGCGGAUAAUGGCCUCCCGUGCUUGUGUUUCGGUUGGCCUAAAUAAGAGUUCCCUUCGGCGGACACACGACUAGUGGUGGUUGAAUAGACCCUCGUCUUUUGUUGCGUGUCGUGAGCUGUAAGGGUAGCCCUCAUCAAAGACCCCAGUGUAUCGUCUUCGGAUGAUGCUUCGACCGCGACCCCAGGUCAGGCGGGACUACCCGCUGAGGUUAAGC
rnacentral:misc_RNA from 1 species